CACGUUCAAUAGUGGACUGAAAUACUACAAAUCGCUCUCAGCGUGGAAUGAAGUGAAACUGUGGUGCAUGUCAUACCGUUUGCUAACACUCACAUACAGUAAAGCUGUGCUAAACCGCUCGACACAGAACAGGUGGACUGUAUAACCGCGGUGGAAAGCUUUUCUUUUUCCGCAUUUAGUAUUAUAAUGCCAUAAGAGCUAGCUAACAUUUGGCUUAAACUAUUAUCCGCCGGGCUAAUACCAUAACACCAGCCGCUACUCACGCUUGAUGUUUACGUUAUCGAGGGGUUAGGCUACUAAUUCCGCAAUGUAAAAAGUGGCGACAUAAUUUUCUUCGCACCAGUCCAACGUUGAGGUCGGCUGCCCCCAGUAUCCGUGCCUGUCUGCGGAGGGAGCCAUGAUGGAAAGGUGGAGGCUGCAGCACGCUGCUAACGGAUCUGUAGUGUCAUCACAGCCGGAGCACAGCCACCCUGCCCCGGCACAACGAUGGAAGGCAGAUAACAGUGAUAACUUGUUACAGUGAUUACAGAUAACAGCAGUGCCUGCCCUACAUCGUUUCAUCUUGUGACCCCGGAAAUGUUGAGUAUUCGAAUGUUUUAUGUUGAAAUGCAGUGGUGGAAAGUCAAAGAGUUCAUACUGAAGUCCAGUACUAUCUCGAAGUGCAAUGCUAAAUUAUACAAUAUAUUACAAAACGUUGUUUGUGUGCAACAGUAAGAUGCUGCGUAAUGAAACAAUUUUAACGAUCUAAUAAUGUCAUAUAUUUACUUAAGAAUGUAGGACGUUUUCCUUAUGGAGUAUUUUGACAUACAUAUAUUGAUCUUUUUAUUUCAGGAAAGGAUCUCACUUCCACAUAAUGAGUACUUUCAUUUUUGGUACUUUAAGUAUUGUGAUGCCUAUACUUCUGAGUAUUUAGUACUUGUUUACUUAACCCUUAGAUGCAGAAGUGGGUCAAAAAUGACCCGGUGAGGUUGUUUUCUUGAAAUAUCUUCGUAAUGAAAAAUUGUUAUCAUUUCAUAUUCCAGGUAUUCCUCAAAAAACAUGUUUUUGAUAUAAUGCCAUUUACAGUUUUAACUUACCUUUUAUACAUUUUAAGAAAUUGUAGUUUUUGUAUUACUACCCCAAGCUUCCAUAAGUGGGUCAAAAAUGACCCGCAUGCAUUUUCUAUGGAAUCCAAUGGGAACCUUUGAUUCUUAUCAACUGUGGCUGUCAGGAAUACAUUAACUGUGGACCACACAGACUAUAUCUGAAGUGUCACCCCUCAGGAAGAUUAUUUUACACAGCAAGAGCUGAUAAGUGUGUCAUGGCUGCUAGAUACACAGCUGAAAUGGUCCUACAGAUGCUGGAUGAUGGAGAGGCAGUAACGGGGUUGGACUCCGAGUCUGAAAUUUCUGAUGAUGAGGACCCAGACUAUUGUCCAGGUGGCAGUGGCAGUCGUCCACCUGGAAAUCCAACUGAACAGGAUCAAUCUGACUCAGAAUAUUCCUCUUCUGUGUCUUCUGAAGAAGAAAUUGUCCAAAUCAUGUCCAACAGAAUGAGUCGGAAGGGCUCUUACUGGAGCGAGUUACCUCCCACCCAGGGCAGAACACAGAGCCACAAUAUCCUCAAAAGUCGGUCAGGGCCUGCACAAGGGCUUAGCACCACUGUCUCACCAAAAGAUGCAUGGGAGCUCUUUAUCACUGAUGAUAUAAUACAAGAGGUGAUGAAGUGCACAAACUUGGAAGGACGGAGAGUAGCAACAGCUAGAGGAAAAGAAUGGAAAAAUGUCACCAAAGAAGAAUUCAUGACCUUCAUUGGAUUGACCCUGCUUGCAGGAAGUGAGAAGAACUGGGAUGUAUCAGUCCGUGAGCUGUUUGGGAGUCCUCUACAUAAUCCCAUGUACAAGGCCACUAUGGCUGUUGGAAGAUUUGAAGACAUUCGCCGUACCUUGCGCUUCAAUGAUAAGAGGACCAGCACCCAGAAUUCAAGAGCGGCAUCACCAAUGCACGACGGCUCUUCCUCAAAGAGCUGUCAAAGGAGCUUUUCACACCACACAUGAGGAGUCGACUGGAAGGCUGCCCCCAACUGCAAACCCCGAUUAUUGAAGCAACGGAAAGGUGUGGGGUGACAAAAGCCACAACCCAGCCACAGGAAAGAAGCAGACAGGGCCAACCAAAGAGAAAGAGGUGUCAGAUCUGCCCAAGUAACAAAGAUCGCAAAGUCAACAAUAGGUGUGGGAAAUGCAAUGUACCUGUGUGCAAUGAUCACAGCCAGAAACAGGUAGUUUGUCUGAACUGCAUACAGUGAUGAGACAAGAAGGCAAAACAGGGAAAAGAGAGAGGAACUGUCAAUGACUAGACAGUUACACACAUACAUACACACAAACACACACACACACACACACACACACACACACACAAACACACACACAGACUAAGACACAGACACAGACACACACACACACACACACACACACACACACACAAUGGAUGUUCACAUUUUUCUAUUGCUGUUCUGGGUAAUUUUCUUUUUCAAAAAUGUUAAAAAGUGAAAAAUAAAGAUAUUUCAAACAUGAAAUCAUUCUUGUGUGGUCCUGAAUAUAACACUAAAUAUUAUACAAGUGAUUAUUCUUAACCAAAUUGACAAAAAUGGCAUAAAAACACAUUGAUUCUAAUAUGGGUCAUUUUUGACCCACUUAUGGAAGAGUGUAGGGUCCAGUCACUCGUGCAUCUAAGGGUUAAGUAACAUUUUAGAUCAGGACUUUUAAUUGUAACAAAGUAUUUGAACAAUUUAAUAAUGCUACUUUUACUGAAGUAAAACAUCUGAAUGGAAAUGGGUAGUAGCCUAUGGGUCCCCAGCAAUUGCAAACUGCCUGAUGCUUACUUGCAUGGGCAUAUGAUCCAUAAAACAUAAUAGAAAUGGAUUUGGCGUUCUCUAUAACCCCAACAUCACUCCAAUAUUGUCCAAAUCGGUCAAGCUAUUUUAAAACUUUUUUCCAUAUUAUACGUGAGUAUGCUUAUUCAUUCUAAAUAUCACCAUGUAUGCUAAUUGUGUAAAUUGCCCAACUUCUACAAGUACAAAUCUGGCAGUUUCUUAAUGCCAGGGACCCAUUUUAUAAAUGUUUACAGAAAGCUUUGGGGUACUCAGCAUUCCUGGGAUCACAGUGCUGGCAAUUAGCACACAAGAAAAGUCUUUUUUAGCUUUGGGUUAUGUUGGGAAUUAAAAUGGGGGUGGGCUUUGUGUUGAUGGGGGUUGGGGCAUCAAUAGAACAAUAGAUCAGAAUCAGAAGUAUUUUAUUUUUCCCAAAAUGGGAAUUUUUUGAAAUUUAGGAAUUACAUUCAAACGGAAUUAAUGAAAAGGCUUCACAUUUUCAAAUAUGCACAUACAUUUUCUAACAUCCACUCUUUUUUAAGAUUGUUUUGUAUACAUUAUCAAGCAUGGUAGUGGCAAAUAUUAUAAUCACAAUGUUUCUGAUCUUGUAAUCAAUUAAAUAAUAAACACUUUUGGUGUAUAUAAAUCAUCAUACUAUUACCCACCCACAGAGUACGGUUUGUGAAACAGGCUGUGUUUUAUGAAACUGAUACAAGCAAAUGGGAAGUACAUCAGUAAUAAAAGAGGGUAUAAGAAGACAGUAUAAACACAGCUUGUUGAAUUUGAAAAUGAAUGAUGGCUUCAGGCUCAAGUGCUGACCUUAAAAUAGAAGUAUCCCACCACCACCCUCCCCAUUUAACAACAUUCACUGAUAUUUUGUAUCCCACUCUUUCAUGUCAUUAUGUAAUUAUGUUUUAGGGAGGUUGUGUACAGGACUGUAAACAUCCCCCCACAUUGCCAUCCCAUCUAUUUCUUUUCAGUCACCAUUAAAUACCUUAUAACAAACUCUCGUUCUUUUCAAUACUGCUGUUUGGUUAAAUGCACUGUUAUAAAAGGUUUGAGAGAGUGAGGCCGUAAUGUUAACAGCACAAUUUCUAGGGAAAUUAGCACCUUUUAAAAAUAAAAGAAACUCCUACUUUAUUACAUACAGGACUUACAUAUUUACACCAAACCACCAAAGAGUGGUUAAUGUUGUAUGUAUUUGUUUUGUGAAGUACUUUGAGCUCCUUUAUGUAUGACAAAUGCUCUAUAAAUAAAGUUUGAUUUGAUUUGAAAAGUCACAUUCUUUUUUUAUGACUUAUGGAUCUAUAAUUAACUGUUUUACUUUGAAUAGUUUUGAAAUAAGAUACAGGAUGACAUUUGUAAACGUUAAGUUUAUCAUUGUUUAUGUAUUAUACUGUAAUAUAUUAAUUGAGAAUGCACAUUUUUAUUCAAAGCUUAAAUAAAUGUCUUAUGAUAUAUUAUUCCAUACACAUGACAUUUGUCCACUAGAUCACAAACAAUCAUUGUUCUAUCAUGAACCCAGUUGUCCUCUAGAUGGUGUGAUAUACUAAAAAGCUCACAAAACACAUUGCA